rnacentral:rRNA from 1 species
UGGCGGCGUGGAUUAGGCAUGCAAGUCGAACGAAUCCCACUGUUGUAGCAAUACAGUGGUGGGGGAAGUGGCGAAAGGGGCAGUAAUGCGUGGGUAACCUACCUCGGGGACGUGGAUAGCCAUUCUAACGAGUGGGUAAUACGCGGCGAUUUGGUUGAGGGGCAUCCCUUGGCCAGGAAAUGAAUUUCGCCUCGAGAGGGGCUCACGUGAUAUUAGCUAGUUGGUGGGGUAACGGCCCACCAAGGCAAAGAUGUCUAGCGGGUGUGAGAGCACGACCCGCGCCACUGGCACUGAGACACUGGCCAGACACCUACGGGUGGCUGCAGUCGAGGAUCUUUGGCAAUGAGCGCAAGCUUGACCAAGCGACGCCGCGUGUGCGAUGAAGGCCUUCGGGUUGUAAAGCACUGUCGAGGGGGACGAAGCCGCAAGGUUGACCGAUCCCUGGAGGAAGCACGGGCUAAGUUCGUGCCAGCAGCCGCGGUAAGGCGAACCGUGCGAACGUUGUUCGGAAUCACUGGGCUUAAAGGGCGCGUAGGCGGCUUGCCAAGUCAGGGGUGAAAUCCAGCAGCUUAACUGUUGAAGUGCCUUUGAUACUGGCGAGCUCGAGGGAGGUAGGGGUAUGCGGAACUUCUGGUGGAGCGGUGAAAUGCGUUGAUAUCAGAAGGAACGCCGGUGGCGAAAGCGGCGUACUGGACCUCUUCUGACGCUGAGGCGCGAAAGC